AGAGUUUGAUCCUGGCUUAGGAUUAACGCUGGCGGCAUGCCUAAUACAUGCAAGUCGAAUGGUUAGCUUGCUAACCAUGGCGAACGGGUGAGUAACACGUAGGUAACCUGUCUUCAAGACGAGGAUAACCAUUGGAAACGAUGGAUAAUACUGGAUAGGACAAAUCCCCGCAUGAGGAGAUGUUUAAAGGAGCAAUCCACUUGAUGAGGGGCCUGCGGUGCAUUAGCUAGUUGGUGAGGUAAAGGCCCACCAAGGCGAUGAUGCAUAGCCGGACUGAGAGGUUGAACGGCCACAAUGGAACUGAGAACGGUCCAUACUCCUACGGGAGGCAGCAGUAGGGAAUUUUCGGCAAUGGGCGGAAGCCUGAACCCGAGCAAUGCCGCGUGAAGGAAGGAGGUCUUCGGAUUGUAAACUUCUGUUUUCGGUGAAGAAACAAAUGACGGUAGCCGAAGAGGAAGUCACGGCUAACUACGUGCCAGCAGCCGC
rnacentral:rRNA from 1 species